AACAAUGUCCAGAGAAAAACCACUCAAAUCAACAGGAUGGAUAAACAGAUGGUGGAAUUCUAAACAGCAACGAAAGUGAAAGAACCACAGUCACAGGCAGCAACGGGGAGGGAACCUCAGGGACAUAAGAAUCCGCAGUGAAUAUUCCAUUUGUAAUCAAAAUCAGUCAUGGCUAAAUCAUGCUGUUCAGGGAUGCGCACACACACUGCUGGUCACACCACAAAGAAAGGCAAGAAAGAGAUUACCACCAAAUCCAGCAACGUGUGGGGAGCUGUGGGAGGGGAGAUCGGGACGGGAUGCUGGGGGCUUGAGGAGCUGGCAGUGUGCGUGUUCUGGGUUUCGGCUUUACGGUUAUUUAUUAGCUUUAUGCACUUUUCUGUUUGUGUGUCACAGAUCACAAUUUUAUGACAAAGCAACAAUAAAACUUUCUCCAGAGGGAUCUCAGGAGACAUUCUCAUGAAGAAUGAGAUAGAACCCCUUAUGCAUUCAACAGCGUGUAGCGGCAUCUUAGUGAGCACAGUAUGAUAAGCUGUAACAAAACCUAUGAGAGGUGCACAAAAUAUAGUGCAAAUUUCUUAGGAAGCUGGGUCAGCUCAUCCUGAAUCAUGACACAGCUUGACAUCACCCACAAAGAUCCAAAAUUUACAACAGCAACCUAGGGCACAGUAGAAGUACGCUGUAAAUGCUGCAAAUACAGCGCUAUGUUGUAAUUGGUCUCCUGGUCAGAGGACUUCUGCGGGGUCAGCAGAUGCAGGCUGCUGCCUGCAGGGUGCUAGAAGCACACAGAAGUGCCGGGAGCCAGGGAGACAGGGUGUGGAGAGGAGGAUGAGGGGCACAGCGGAGGACACCACGGAGGAGAGGAUACAGGAGGCAGAUCAGGGACCUAGCUCAGGGGAACAGGAGACUCGUCCAGCGCAGGAGUGAGGCCAAGGGGAGGGUCAAGGCGGGGUCAGGGGAUAAUAAGAUCAAGGGAGAGGCACCAGCAGCCCUGCAGCCAGCGGGCUCCUUCCAUCGUCUGACCGGCCAACCCCCCUGCAGCAGAAGGGCCUUCAAGGCCCCCCGGUGCAGCCCCCUGGCUCAGCUCAAGAUCUCUCACCAGGUGGCUUGGUCCCUGCCCACCCGUCACACUUCCUUCCCAGCAACACUAGGUGCCCCCUUCCCCUCAGCAGGGUCUUGUGCCCUCCGUGUUUCCGCCCUUGCAGAUCCUACUGCCUGGACGCCCUGCCCUCUGACCUCCUAGUACCGUCGUCAACCCGUCAGACACCACCCACCAUGAGAAGCCCCCGGCCACCGCCGUGGGGGCUCGUGCGUCCCCACCCACGGAACCUACCUACCAGUUUGCGGACAGACGCUGUGCCCCUGCCCCGCCCAUCCCCGGAGUGUGACUGGGAGCCUGCUUCUCCCUCCAGCGUGCGCCCAGCCCUUGGCAUACACUAACCACACCACAAACGCUUGACUGCCUGAAAUUGGAACACAGGAAAUCCUGGCCGUGCGUUUGGAGGUAGAAGUUGGCUUUCAGCAACGUGGAAAGGAAUAUAUUUGAGGGCUGUACGCCCCUCAGUUGCUCUAACCUAGUAAGGUUUCACGUCUGGGGCUGAGGAACAGGGGCCCAAGUGGCACCCUGCAUAAACAUGACCCAUAGCACCUGUCAGCUGUGCUGCAACCGUCCCCCUAGAGACAUACAGCAGAGGGUUUGCAGUGCGACUCUGCGGGGAGCCUCUCUGCGGCUCAGUUUCCUCAUCUGUUAAAAUGGGGACAGAAAGAGCCCCUGCGGAGUUAGGAGGUGGUAGGAUUUCAGUGAGUAGGCAAAGUGCUCAGAAGAGCGGCCAGCACUCUCAGUGUUGGUUGUCACGGCCACUGUUGUUUAUCUGCCCGCCUUCCUCAGGGGCCUGCUGUCCCCUGACGGGGCUGAGGGCCCUGUGAGCUGCCUGUCCGACAUGGAAGCAGCUCAGGACGUUUGGUGGCUGCAGGACUCUCCACUGACUGGGCUCCAGAUCACUCUCCACUGACAGAAACCUUGGGGUAUCUGAAGGCAGGGGGGUGAGGGGGUGGGGGGAGUCAAGCCCAAUCUGAUGUCAGCCGGCUAAUAACCUUCGUCCAAAACCAUUCAAGGCCAAGUAGAGUGGAUAUGUCCAUUCCAAUCUGGGUCCAGCUGUAUUGUGGUUGAUGGUAUUUUCCCAAGGCAGCCACAUCCCAUGACAAUGACACUCCUCUCAGAAGAUGGGGUCUUCUUCCCUCUUUUUGCAUCUGGGUGAACUGGGGUGACCAGAGCGGAAGUGAAGCUUGGUUACAUCUGAUGCUGGGGUUAGAAAAGGCCUCUCUCUUCUGGCUCAUCCUCUCUUGAGAUGCUUGCCCUUGGACCCAGCCACCGUGCGGUGAGGAAGCCCACGCUGGCCCACGUGGAGAGUCCACAUGGAGGCUCAUGUGGGGGAGGAACUGAGGCCCCCAGCUGACAUCAGCAUCAACUGCCAGACACAUAAGUAAACCAGACAUCCGAUGAUCCCUCCCCAAGCCUCAGGUCUCCAGCUGAGGUCCAGGGUAUCAUGGAGCAGGACCAAACUGUCCCCAACACGCCCUGUCCAGAUUCCUGAUGUGCAGUAUCCAUGAACAAAAUACAUGGCUGUUUUACACUAGUCUGGUUUUGGGGUAGUUACGUACACAGCUACAGUCAGUGGAAUGUACAUAAAACCACUUCCGGAGUUCCCAGGACACGACGUGAUCUCUCACACCUCCCCUUGGUGGCACAUCCGAUCUCUCUGCUAAACCCCAGAGGCAGACCCAGCUCAGAUGCCACCCCGUCCUUGGCGGCCUCUCCUGUCCCGUCGCCAUGCUCACAUCACACCCCACGAUCUCUCUGCUGAUCUGUCUGAUCCUUCCAGUACAAGAGGCGGCAUAAAGCAGCCAGAAAGCCACGGAUCCCGGAGCCAGACUGCUUGGCUGUGCAUCAUGGUUCCAACCGCUUAGGAGCUGUGUGGUCUCAGGCAAGAACCGAGGCCCACCCACAACAACCACCAAAGGGCUUGACGCUUCCAUACUCAAUCAACACGGAAGGAACGAACAGAUGGACACAGGCCACAGCUCCGGGAAGCUCCUAGAAGAUGUGCGCGAACUGAAAAGACAGCAAACGUCCAACGUGGAAAAGAUGGCAUCCAGGGAGCAGGUGAUUCAGGACAGGAGAGGCAACAGGAUUCCCGGGAUGACGGUGAAGGAAAGACGCAGGACAACAGCUGAGCAAUAAGAGGCCUCAAGGGCAACCAGUCCAGACGGGAGCAAGAAGGGCAGGGCUCCAGGAGGAUCACCACCAGGAACCCUAGAGCUAGGAGAUGAGCUGAUGUGUCUGGCGUCACUGACAGGAGGGCUUCUUUUUUCACUCGACUGAAGCAUUUGCGGAAUAAAGUAAUGAUAGAGACACAGAAAACAGAGCAAACCAAAAAGCAAGACAAGUAGUAACCAGAGGAAAAAUGAAGUCAAACAAGGAAAUGUCGUCUUGGGACACUGUAAGGCUCAGCUUUGAACAACAUUUACAGACAUGUAAUGAUGUACACGCUGAACACAGACUAAGAAAAAUCAUGAUAUGGUCACGUUAAAAAGAUGAAGGGGGCUUCCCUGGUGGCGCAGUGGUUGAGAGUCCGCCUGCCGAUGCAGGGGACACGGGUUCGUGCCCCGGUCUGGGAAGAUCCCACAUGCCGCGGAGCAACUGGGCCCGUGAGCUGUGGUCGCUGAGCCUGUGCGUCCGGAGCCUGUGCUCCGCAACGGGAGAGGCCACGGCAGUGAGAGGUCCGCGUACCGCAAAAAAAAAAAAAAAAAAAGGAUGAAGGAAAGAAAACGUGUGUGUGUGUGUGUGCGCGCGCGCGUGUGUGUGCGCGUGUAGUUGGAGGUAACAUACCUAAAUCGAGACCUUCCACAGCAGGAAGUCACUAUGUAACGCUACAUAAAAUUGAAAAAUCAAGAAACAACAGUAUAAGCAUAUUUUUAGGUUAUUCUAGAAAAAGAAACCAGUUUAAAGAGUUUACAGUAGGAUGACUUUGGGAGGGAGGAGGAGUUGGGGCAGUUCUGUGUUUCAAACAUGUGCAUGUAUUACCUUAAUAAAAAUAAAACUUUAGUUGUUUUAAUUUUGUUAAAAAGAAAAGCAAAUGUCUCUGUGAUGCCUGGCAGGGAGUCUGGCUCUGACCUGGCCUGCGGGACGGGCUGGCUCCAGGCCUCCAGCCCAGUCGAUUCCUAUCCCACCCGGGUGCUGGGACACUGAGGAGGAAGGGUGGGAGGGGGAAUGAACGAGGAGGGGGGGUUCUUUUUGAAUUGUAAGGGAUAAACCCCAUCACCAACUCUACAGGGGAAGCUCUUGCUGGCAGCUGCUGGCACCUGCAGAUAAGACCACAAAGGGGGAGGGUCCGAGACAGAGCAGAGGUGCACGAACUGGCCAGGCCAGGGCCAAGCCCACUGACUCAGACAUUGCAAGCUGGUGAACUCGGGGGCAGCCUGAACUUCACAGCAGCUGCUGUGCUGUUUGUAAACUCCCUCGGAGAGGCCAAGCGGAUAAUAGCGUUGCUAGGAGAUGUGCUUCGCAGGGCAGCAGGCUUCCCGGGAGGAUCUUUACG